rnacentral:rRNA from 1 species
UGAGGAAUAUUGGUCAAUGGGCGUAAGCCUGAACCAGCCAAGUCGCGUGAGGGAUGAAGGUUCUAUGGAUCGUAAACCUCUUUUAUAAGGGAAUAAAGUGCGGGACGUGUCCCGUUUUGUAUGUACCUUAUGAAUAAGGAUCGGCUAACUCCGUGCCAGCAGCCGCGGUAAUACGGAGGAUCCGAGCGUUAUCCGGAUUUAUUGGGUUUAAAGGGAGCGUAGGUGGACAUGUAAGUCAGUUGUGAAAGUUUGCGACUCAACCGUAAAAUUGCAGUUGAAACUGCGUGUCUUGAGUACAGUAGAGGUGGGCGGAAUUCGUGGUGUAGCGGUGAAAUGCUUAGAUAUCACGAAGAACUCCGAUUGCGAAGGCAGCUCACUGGAGUGUAACUGACGCUGAUGCUCGAAAGUGUGGGUAUCAAACAGGAUUAGAUACCCUGGUAGUCCACACAGUAAACGAUGAAUACUCGCUGUUUGCGAUAUACAGUAAGCGGCCAAGCGAAAGCAUUAAGUAUUCCACCUGGGGAGUACGCCGGCAACGGUGAAACUCAAAGGAAUUGACGGGGGCCCGCACAAGCGGAGGAACAUGUGGUUUAAUUCGAUGAUACGCGAGGAACCUUACCCGGGCUUAAAUUGCAAAUGAAUUAUGGGGAAACCCAUACGCCGCAAGGCAUUUGUGAAGGUGCUGCAUGGUUGUCGUCAGCUCGUGCCGUGAGGUGUCGGCUUAAGUGCCAUAACGAGCGCAACCCUUAUCUUCAGUUACUAACAGGUCAUGCUGAGGACUCUGGAGAGACUGCCGUCGUAAGAUGUGAGGAAGGUGGGGAUGACGUCAAAUCAGCACGGCCCUUACGUCCGGGGCUACACACGUGUUACAAUGGGGGGUACAGAAGGCCGCUACCUGGUGACAGGAUGCCAAUCCCAAAAACCUCUCUCAGUUCGGAUCGAAGUCUGCAACCCGACUUCGUGAAGCUGGAUUCGCUAGUAAUCGCGCAUCAGCCAUGGCGCGGUGAAUACGUUCCC